rnacentral:rRNA from 1 species
UACGUAGGGGGCAAGCGUUGUCCGGAAUCAUUGGGCGUAAAGGGCGUGUAGGCGGCUCGUUAAGUCCGCUGUGAAAGUCCAGGGCUCAACCCUGGAAGGCCGGUGGAAACUGGCGGGCUAGAGUCCGGAAGAGGCGAGUGGAAUUCCCGGUGUAGCGGUGAAAUGCGCAGAUAUCGGGAGGAACACCAAUGGCGAAGGCAGCUCGCUGGGACGGUACUGACGCUGAGACGCGAAAGCGUGGGGAGCAAACAGG